rnacentral:lncRNA from 1 species
AUUAAUGCAAUCAAAUGAGAGAUGUAAUUUAUAACAUUAAUUGGUCUCAAAAUUAUUAUGGAUUAAUGGUAUUAAUGACUUUAAAGCCAGUAAAUAGCCAAUACUUUACAAAUGGGCAAAAGUCAUGAUGGUUAACUACUUUCUGGUUUCAAAUAUAUAUAUUGUAACAUUUAAGUCAUUACUUACCAGGAUAAGGUGAGAGCUAUUUGUUAUUGUUGCAGCAAUUUAUUGAGGCUGAGAGGUGCUUCUCAUGCACAAAUCAUUUGAUCGUUGAUUUUCUCCUUCAACUCUGACAUCAAGCAUUUCCUGUCCCAAGACUUAAGAAGCUUAAAGGAGAAAGAUAUGAAAUAUUCAUUAAAAUAAAAAAUUAAUUAAAUUAGAAGACGCUACAACUAGAUGCUACAACACAGUUUUCUCAAAAGCAUUAAAUAACCUGUCUCAAGAAGAAUAAAUGGCUUCGGCUCUUUUUCCUAUUUUUAAGGAAAAUCAAAGGUAAAUAAAACAAUUUUUUUAUUAGAUAAACUUAUUAUCAGAUGAGGUACAUUUUUAUUGUUUGCUAAAUGUCCAACGAAGUAUUGCAAUCAUAUGAACAUGCACUAGAUUAGCAUACUUUCCUUUAUACGAGAGUUAUUCACAUUCUCACCUGUACAAAAAUUGCACUUAACCUUACACGAUAUGAAUUUUCAGCAACUUCAGUACACUUUUGUCACAGGUGGUUGCACGGACAACUUGGCAGUAGAUAGGAGACCACUACCUAGAUCACCACAAAAUCCAAGGGUCCAAAUCUUGACUAUGGAACCAUACUGAACAAUGAUCAGUAUCUUGCACACCAUAUCAACAAAGGCUAUGGAUUAAUACACUUCGUUGUGGCCUAUACACCCCAUAGCACAGCCUUUCUUAGCACCUCAUUUUUCCUUUUUGCUUUUUCUUACGUUUAUUAUUUCAAUGUUACGUCUUUUGCAAAAACAUGGUAAGUGUAUUGAUUUAAGCACCCUAAUCAUCCCAAUUGAGUUAGAGUCGACCCCAGAAAGUUUGGAGUCAACUCUGAUACAUUUGGCACCCUAUGGCAUGCUGUGGCACACCUUGAUACAUUUGGCACAGAGUUGGAGUCGACCUCAGAAGAAUUUGAGUCGAUCCUAGCACAUUUGGCACAUCAUUGGCAAGCUUGGCGCACCAUUGGCACACUUAGCACAGGGUUCGGGUCGACCCCAGAAAAUGACACUGAAGCUUGAGUCGACCCCAACAAGGUUCACAAGAAAAUUGCUUUCUGGAUUCCCUGCCAGAGCUAACCUCAAGAAAGUUGGAGUCGACCCCAGCCAUACUUGGGUCGACCCCAACAAAGCUCGAGCCGACACCAGCUUAAAACAUCAAGAAUUUGCUCUUUAGAUUUUCUGUUAGAGUCGACCCCAACAAAGCUCGAGUCGACCCUACUGAAAGCUCGAGUCGACCCCAAGAGUAGUCGAGCUGACCCCAGCUUGAAAUAUCCGAAAAACAGCUCUCUGGAAGUUCGGGCCGACCCCAGCCAAGGUGGAGUCGACCCUAGGAAAACAUGAGUCGACCCCAGCCUUGGAACAGUAGCUCGAGCCGACCCCAGAUAUGCUCAGGUCGACCCCAACAUAAUGGCCAGUUCUGUAGAUGUACUUUUUGGUGCUCCAACAGCUAGAAACGGCUAGUUUCUCCAUUCCAGUAGCUGGGGAGUGAUCAUUUAAGGUUGAAGAAGUAUUUAAGAGACACUAUUCAUCAGGGAAAACUAUCUUUUGCAAAAUCAAAGUGUGCAUUCAAAAGAAAAGAUAUUCCUAGUGUUCUUCAUUUUUAUUGCUUCUUUCAAAUUCUGAAAGAAGGUGGUUGAGCGGUCUUCAAGUGUCUUCAAGAGCUCUACCAAUCCCUUGAGGAGUGAAGCAACUUUGGCAAAGAAGAGAAGAGCAAUCUACAAAGCGAUAACUAUUCUCUUACUUCUUCUUUGAGUGCAUAAUUGUAUUACUUACUCAUUUAGGAGCUUUAAACUUUUUCUUUAUUUCUCUUUGUAAGCCCGUAAAACCAACGGUGUAGGUUGUUGGUGAGCCCGUAAAACCAACGGUUAGGUUUAAUUGGUGAUCCCGUAAAACCAAUUGUAGGAUUUUUGGAUUGUGAGCCCGGUAAAACAAUCCAACUGUAAUCCGAGGAAUUAUAGUGAAUUCCCAAAAGAACGCUUGGGGAGUGGACGUAGAUGCCUUGGAGUGCACCGAACCACUAUACUUCGCUGGUGUUUGUAGUGUGUUUGUUUUGCUUCACUUGCACUUAUACAAUUUACAUAAGCUAAGAUACUCAUUUAUCUAUAAGUAAAAUUUAAGAUCUUAAAAUUUAGAAAACCCAAUUCACCCCCCCCCCUCUCCUUUUGGGUUGUUAUCUUGGGCAACACUUUCUCUAAGUCAAUAAGACCAUAUGCAGACUUUUUCCUUUGUAUUUUUAUACCAGUAAUCUAUGCAUCUGUGCACACAUACACAAACAUAAAUAUUCCUUUGUACUGAAGUCACCAUGGUUGUCAAAACUAAAGAAAGACCAUAACUCAAUGACAUAAGUUAGACAACAAGCCUUGUAAUUUCAUAAGCCUACAAAGAGCUAUUCCUUUGCUGUAACUUAUUUAUUAGUACCAAAACAAUGAUAAUAAAAGAUGUUGUCUUUAUGUAUGUCAAGGCUCCAAAUUCUAAAUAAAGAAGAUUUGUAGGGUUUGUACCCAUAGUCAGUACUUGCAAAGGAAACUAACAAAGAAAAUGGUGUUGCAAAAUUAAUCUCAACAAAACCAUCAAGAUAAAUCAUAGCUAUAUUACUCAAAGCUUUAGAUUUUUAAAAGUAUGGAAGAUAGAUAGUUUGUACAAGAUGUUAUCCAACAUAUGAUUAGUUUCCUGCUCAUGCUUGCUUGGCAUUUAGCAUAAUGUUGUGAAGCAUUCAGUUAAUGGACAUUCCAAUGUGUUUUGACCCUCAAUGCUCUAGCAUAAGUAUCAAACAUGAUCCAUGCUUCAAAGUUUUGCCCAAAAUUCUGAAACUGAAAGCCAAAUAUAACCAAUUUUGGUAGGAACCAAUCCAAAAUUUAGGCUAGGUUGAGAGUUUCAGUUGAACUAAAUUAUGGGGCAAAGUGUACAUACGAGGAAAUUUAAACUAAAUUUUUGCCGUUUCUUAGGUUCUUUAAAUGUUAUGAAACAUCUUAUAUAUGUUAAACUAAGGAGUAAAGAUAGAAGUUUUGGAAGCAAUGCCACCUUAGGUUUCAAAGAGAUUUCGAAAUUUAACCUUCUGAAAUCAGUUUCCUAUCCUAAAGCUCAAACAUCAAGGGUUCUUAGAUUGCCAUGCGUGAUAUUGUCCUCAAAUAGUACAAUAAUAUUUUACACUCUAAAAAUUUUUCUUUAACAUUUACUUUGGAAAUACAUGAUUCUUCUAGAGUGAACCACGGAAGCACCAUUAUGAUACACCCAACGGUCCCAAAACAAUGCGACAUACUAUGAAAUGGUGUAUAACAUACCUAGGUAUUCUUUUUAUUGUUUCAUUUAGCAUCUUUCUUUAACAUUUAUUUCUGACAUACAAGAUUCUUCUAGUGUGAACCGCCAAUAUGAUACACCCAAUGGUCCCAAAACCAAGGUUCGCCGGACCGACCGUACCAGCAUACCGGUGAGCACCGGCACCGGUAUGAACCGGAGACGCGCGCGUACGCGGCCGCGCGCGCUCGGGCGUCAAAAAAAAAAGCAAAAAAAAAGUGUCCGCACGCGUCCGUCAAAUGCCACAGAGUGGGCACGCUACCCCAUGCGGGGGCGCGAUUCCCUGCUGGGGAAACGCGCAGGCGCAGUUCAACCGCGCCCGCAUGCGAUUCCCACAAAAAAAAACUCUGCAUCCGCAUGCGUCCGCACAGACGCGUUAAAUGCCACUCUAUGGCAUGAAGUGGCCCACGCGGGUUCCAGCCACGUGGGCACUCUUCCCUGCGCGCGGACUCGCGCGUUAAAUGCCACUCUAUGGCAUGAAGUGGCCCACGCGGGUUCCAGCCGCGUGGGCACUCUUCCCUGCACGCGGGCGCUCUUCCCCGUGCGAGAAAAAUGUGUCUGGACCGGUGCGAACCGGGCUGGUUCGCGCCGAUACAAGCUGAUAUCGGCGCGAACCAGCCCGGUUCGCACCGGUACAAGUAUGGAACCAAUCGGUUCCGACCUUGUUUGGAUCGGAACCGUUUUUAUGGGUUGUACCGUACCGGUGCCUGUCGGCACCGGGUCGGUUCAGCAUACCUUGCCCAAAACAAUGUGAUAUACCAAAAAAUGGUGCAUAACUCAUCUUCUAGAAUUUUUAUUUUCCUUUUGUUCAUUUUCCCUUAAUUCUAGUUAGGUCUUGUUUCUGUUUUUUCUUUUUUUUGUGGAUCUGAUUUUCUUCCUUAUAACUUUCAACUACCACUAUCAAAAUCCGAAAUUAUGAAACUAUUGUAGCAAAUACUCAUAAAGUGAUAUUGUCCAAGUGAAACCAAGACCAAGUUUUUGGAACCUUAGCAUGAUUAAUCCAAAGCAAAGAUUGUUUCUGGGCAGCAGGCUGAGAGGUGCUUCUCAUGCACAAAUCAUUUGAUCGUUGAUUUUCUCCUUCAACUCUGACAUCAAGCAUUUCGAACCGAGCCGACCCCGUCUCCGACCGGGUUGGCUCUCCAACGGAAAAUGGAUGUGGCCGGAACCAGUCGGUACCGAACGGUUCCAUCUAGUUCGACUCAGAUUCGGCAUGAACCGGUCGGUUCACACCGAAUAUAGGGCCCCGCUGUGGGGUUGUGGCAAUGAAUAUGGGCAAUUGCCACAACCUAGUUCGGUUCGAACCAAUACCGAACCGUACCGGUCAGCGACCGAUACAGGUCUCGGUAUCGGUUCGACAAACCUUAAUCUAAAGGAAACAUUGAGUUAAAUGUUUAUGUUUAU